AUUGAACGCUGGCGGAAUGCUUUACACAUGCAAGUCGAACGGCAGCACGGACUUCGGUCUGGUGGCGAGUGGCGAACGGGUGAGUAAUAUAUCGGAACGUGCCCAGUCGUGGGGGAUAACGUAGCGAAAGCUACGCUAAUACCGCAUACGAUCUACGGAUGAAAGCGGGGGAUCGCAAGACCUCGCGCGAUUGGAGCGGCCGAUAUCAGAUUAGGUAGUUGGUGAGGUAAAGGCUCACCAAGCCGACGAUCUGUAGCUGGUCUGAGAGGACGACCAGCCACACUGGGACUGAGACACGGCCCAGACUCCUACGGGAGGCAGCAGUGGGGAAUUUUGGACAAUGGGGGCAACCCUGAUCCAGCAAUGCCGCGUGCAGGAAGAAGGCCUUCGGGUUGUAAACUGCUUUUGUACGGAACGAAACGGUCUGGGUUAAUACCCUGGGCUAAUGACGGUACCGUAAGAAUAAGCACCGGCUAACUACGUGCCAGCCGCCGCGGUAAAAC
rnacentral:rRNA from 1 species